AUUGAACGCUGGCGGCAGGCUUAACACAUGCAAGUCGAGCGGGGUGAUGGUGCUUGCACUAUCACUUAGCGGCGGACGGGUGAGUAAUGCUUAGGAAUCUGCCUAUUAGUGGGGGACAACAUCUCGAAAGGGAUGCUAAUACCGCAUACGUCCUACGGGAGAAAGCAGGGGAUCACUUGUGACCUUGCGCUAAUAGAUGAGCCUAAGUCGGAUUAGCUAGUUGGUGGGGUAAAGGCCUACCAAGGCGACGAUCUGUAGCGGGUCUGAGAGGAUGAUCCGCCACACUGGGACUGAGACACGGCCCAGACUCCUACGGGAGGCAGCAGUGGGGAAUAUUGGACAAUGGGGGGAACCCUGAUCCAGCCAUGCAGCGUGUGUGAAGAAGGCCUUAUGGUUGUAAAGCACUUUAAGCGAGGAGGAGGCUCUUUUGGUUAAUACCCAAGAUGAAUGGACGUUACUCGCAGAAUAAGCACCGGCUAACUCUGUGCCAGCCGCCGCAGUAA
rnacentral:rRNA from 1 species